rnacentral:rRNA from 1 species
GACGAACGCUGGCGGCGUGCUUAACACAUGCAAGUCGAACGAAGAGCGAUGGAAGCUUGCUUCUAUCAAUCUUAGUGGCGAACGGGUGAGUAACGCGUAAUCAACCUGCCCUUCAGAGGGGGACAACAGUUGGAAACGACUGCUAAUACCGCAUACGAUCUAAUCUCGGCAUCGAGGAUAGAUUAAAGGUGGCCUCUACAUGUAAGCUAUCACUGAAGGAGGGGAUUGCGGCUGAUUAGCUAGUUGGAGGGGUAACGGCCCACCAAGGCGAUGAUCAGUAGCCGGUCUGAGAGGAUGAACGGACACAUUGGGACUGAGACACGGCCCAGACUACUACGGGAGGGAGCAGUGGGGAAUCUUCAGCAAUGGAAGAAAGUCUGACGGAGCAACGCCGCGUGAGUGAUGACGGCCUUCGGGUUGUAAAGCUCUGUUAAUCGGGACGAAAGGCCUUCUUGCGAAUAGUGAGAAGGAUUGACGGUACCGGAAUAGAAAGCCACGGCUAACUACGUG